AGCAGCCGCGGUAAUUCCAGCUCCAAUAGCGUAUAUUAAAGUUGCUGCAGUUAAAAAGCUCGUAGUUGAAUUUCGGGACCGAUAUGUCGGUCGUGCCUCGGUACGUACUGGUAUUUUCGGUUUCUCCCUUCUGACGAACCUUGAUGUCAUUAAUUUGGUGUCUUGGGGAAUCAGGACUGUUACUUUGAAAAAAUUAGAGUGUUUAAAGCAGGCUCACGCUUGAAUACAUUAGCAUGGAAUAAUGAAAUAGGACGUUUGAUUCUAUUUUGUUGGUUUCUAGGAUCGACGUAAUGAUUAAUAGGGAUAGUUGGGGGCAUUAGUAUUCAAUUGUCAGAGGUGAAAUUCUUGGAUUUAUUGAAGACUAACUACUGCGAAAGCAUUUGCCAAGGAUGUUUUCAUUAAUCAAGAACGAAAGUUAGGGGAUCGAAGACGAUCAGAUACCGUCGUAGUCUUAACCAUAAACUAUGCCGACUAGGGAUCGGAUGAUGUUAAUUUUUUAAUGACUCAUUCGGCGCCUUAC
rnacentral:rRNA from 1 species